CCUCAAGUCAAGUAUUUAAUAUAUUUACUCCUUGUCAAUGCUAAAUAUUUCUAUUCCCAGAGUCCGCUCGUAUUCCAUCAUUGUGGAAUGAGCACUACCUUAUUCGCUUUAAAGGACAUUAAACGCGAUGUGAUAUACCCAAAUACCAGGCCAAAUCACUUGGAUUUGUAAUGGAAACAAAUUGUAAGCCGUGCUAGGCCUCAGGCUUAACAUCUGAUGGUUGAAAUUAGACAUCUGUAGGCUAUUUCGCCCACGCCACGAUGACACUUAAUUAAUAUUUAUAACACAUACUUCAACAUAUGUAUCUGCACGACAUAACACAAUUAAUGUAAUUGGCUGACACAGUGCGCAAAUAGUCGUAAAUCAUUUAUCAUCACAAUCUUUGCUAGAGUGCUGCCAAUACAUAUAUUAUCAUACACACACA